rnacentral:rRNA from 1 species
GACAACGCUGGCGGCGUGCCUAACACAUGCAAGUCGAACGGAGAUAUGAUUUCGGUUAUAUCUUAGUGGCGAACGGGUGAGUAACGCGUGAGCAACCUGACUCUUAGAGGGGGAUAACACCCGGAAACGAGUGCUAAUACCGCAUAAGACCACGACAUGGCAUCAUGACGAGGUCAAAGGAGCAAUCCGCUGAGAGAGGGGCUCGCGUCCCAUUAGAUAGAUGGCGGGGUAACGGCCCACCAUGUCAGCGAUGGGUAGCCGAGCUGAGAGGCUGAUCGGCCACACUGGAACUGAGACACGGUCCAGACUCCUACGGGAGGCAGCAGUGGGGAAUAUUGGGCAAUGGGCGCAAGCCUGACCCAGCAACGCCGCGUGAGGGAAGAAGGCUUUCGGGUUGUAAACCUCUGUCCUUGGUGACGAAAAAAAUGACGGUAGCCAAGGAGGAAGCCCCGGCUAACUACGUG